rnacentral:rRNA from 1 species
AUUGAACGCUGGCGGCAGGCCUAACACAUGCAAGUCGAGCGAGUGGCGGACGGGUGAGUAAUGCUUGGGAAUGUCGCUUAUGGAGGGGGAUAACUCCGGGAAACUGUAGCUAAUACCGCGUACCAUAGGAUGAGCCCAAGUGGGAUUAGGUAGUUGGUGAGGUAAAGGCUCACCAAGCCGACGAUCUCUAGCCGGUCUGAGAGGAUGACCAGCCACACUGGGACUGAGACACGGCCCAGACUCCUACGGGAGGCAGCAGUGGGGAAUCUUGCGCAAUGGGGGCAACCUGACGGAGCCAUGCCGCGUGAAUGAAGAAGGCCUUCGGGUUGUAAAGUUCUUUCGGUAGCGAAGCGUUAACUACACAAGAAGCACCGGCUAACUCCGUGCCAGCAGCCGCGGUAAUUC